rnacentral:rRNA from 1 species
UACGGGGGGAGCAAGCGUUGUUCGGAUUUACUGGGCGUAAAGGGCGCGUAGGCGGCCAGCACAAGUCAGUUGUGAAAUCUCCGAGCUUAACUCGGAAAGGUCAACUGAUACUGUGCGGCUAGAGUGCAGAAGGGGGCAACUGGAAUUCUUGGUGUAGCGGUGAAAUGCGUAGAUAUCGAGAGGAACACCUGCGGCGAAGGCGGGUUGCUGGGCUGACACUGACGCUGAACUGCGAAAGCUAGGGGAGCGAACGGG